rnacentral:rRNA from 1 species
AUUGAACGCUAGCGGGAUGCCUUACACAUGCAAGUCGAACGGAGUGGCGAACGGGUGAGUAAUGUAUCGGAACGUGCCCAGUAGCGGGUGAUAACUACGCGAAAGCGUAGCUAAUAACGCAUACUAUUGGAGCGGCAGAUAUCGGAUUAGCUUGCUGGUGGUGUAACGGCGAACCAAGGCGACGCUCCGUAGCUGGUUUGAGAGGACGACCAGCCAACCUGUGACGGAGACACGGCCCAGACUCCUACGUGAGGCAGCAGUGGGGAAUUUUGGACAAGGGGGGAAACCUUGAUCCAGCCAUCCCGCGUGUGCGAUGAAGGCCUUCGGGUUGUAAAGCACUUUUGGCAGGAAAGCGGUACCUGCAGAAUAAGCACCGGCUAACUACGUGCCAGCAGCCGCGGUAAUAC